rnacentral:tRNA from 1 species
GAGGGUAUAGUUCAGUGGUAGAGUGUGUGCUUAGCAUGCACAAGGUCCUGGGUUCAAUCCUCAGUACCUCCA